rnacentral:rRNA from 1 species
UACGUAGGGGGCAAGCGUUGUUCGGAAUUACUGGGCGUAAAGGGCGCGUAGGCGGCACGGCAAGUCGGGAGUGAAAGGCCUGGGCUCAACCGAGGAACUGCUUUCGAGACUGCCGAGCUAGAGUGCGGAAGGGGCGACUGGAAUUCCCAGUGUAGCGGUGAAAUGCGUAGAUAUUGGGAAGAACACCUGAGGCGAAGGCGGGUUGCUGGGCCGACACUGACGCUGAGGCGCGAAAGCCAGGGGAGCAAACGGG